ACUCCUGACCUCAGGUGAUCCACCCGCCUCGGCCUCCCAAAGUGCUGGGAUUAUAGGCGUGAGCCACCGCACCCAGCUGUUUUCUGAUUUUAAGUAGCUAAGGAGUCUGGCUUUCUGCUGGAAUCAUUUGGAAAGGUCGUGGGAGAAACAUCUCAAGCCUGCCUAGGUUGUCUCUUUAGGGCCUGGCCUCUGGCUUAGGGCACUAGUUGUCAGAACCCAGAA
rnacentral:lncRNA from 1 species